rnacentral:rRNA from 1 species
UACGGAGGGAGCUAGCGUUGUUCGGAAUUACUGGGCGUAAAGCGCACGUAGGCGGCUAUUCAAGUCGGGGGUGAAAGCCCGGGGCUCAACCCCGGAACUGCCCUCGAAACUAGAUAGCUGGAAUCUUGGAGAGGCGAGUGGAAUUCCGAGUGUAGAGGUGAAAUUCGUAGAUAUUCGGAAGAACACCAGUGGCGAAGGCGACUCGCUGGACAAGUAUUGACGCUGAGGUGCGAAAGCGUGGGGAGCAAACAGG